CUACGGGAGGCAGCAGUGAGGAAUCUUGGACAAUGGGCGAAAGCCUGAUCCUGCGACGCCGCGUGGGUGACGAAGGCCUUCGGGUUGUAAAGCCCUGUCAGAGGGGAAGAAGUUCUGACGGUACCCUCAGAGGAAGCACAGGCUAACUCCGUGCCAGCAGCCGCGGUAAUACGGAGUGUGCAAGCGUUGCUCGGAAUCACUGGGCGUAAAGGGCGCGUAGGCGGCUUGGUAAGUUGGAUGUGAAAGCCCUCGGCUCAACCGAGGAACUGCAUCCAAAACUGCCUGGCUAGAGUACGGAAGAGGAAGGCGGAAUUCCCAGUGUAGGGGUGAAAUCCGUAGAUAUUGGGAAGAACACCAGUGGCGAAGGCGGCCUUCUGGGACGAUACUGACGCUGAGGCGCGAAAGCGUGGGGAGCAAACAGGAUUAGAUACCCCUGUAGUC
rnacentral:rRNA from 1 species